GGUGUGAUUUUCUUCCCUAGCAUCCCACGUAUCCCACCCCAAUUUGUCCACAUUUCUUAACUUCUUUUGUGCCCCAAAAGUCUCCUUCUUAUCCUAUUUUGCUGGCUGCCUCAGACCAGAAAGUCCAGCAACUCCUUUUCUUCUUUCUCUAUUCAUCUUUCCUUCUUCUUGUUUCCUUCUUCUCCCCUUCUUACACGGCAGCCUUCUCUCCCUCACCAAAACAAAAUAUCCCUCUCUAAAGAAGAAAUUAAAGGUUUAACACUAAAAUUUCAGCUUCCAAGUUUGUGGGUGGCAAGAACGAGAACACGGACACUUGAGCUCCUCGUGUACAAUCUCUCGCGCCUUCUGUUAUCAGUGCACAGGUUCUUCCUAGAAGCAGUGAGAGUAUUAGAGGUGGCAAGGAUUUUGUGUUUUCUUGUUUGUAAGAAUGUAGAGUUUUGUUGUAUAGCAGUUAGUUCUUUUGUUGUAUAGGAGGAAUCAAGAUGUACUUGAUCCUUUGAGCACAGAUGUAAUUCGGUACCUUAAUUUGUUUUGAACCCCAGUUGUAUAUAUUUGGGGUUAGGUUUGUAAUAAGAGUUUCGCUGAACGUUUAGCUAUGAAAUAUUUACAUAUAUACCUUAAGUUUCAGCUAGGUGGUAAUUUUCCAAGUUCGAAGGAAAUGAAAUUUCAAGGUUGCCAUCA